GCGCCCGUGGUCUAAUGGAUAAGGCACCAGAUUCCGGUUCUGGUUACUGGGGGUUCGAGUCCCUUCGGGCGUA
rnacentral:tRNA from 1 species